GAUGAACGCUAGCGGCGGGUCUAAUACAUGCAAGUCGAACGGGAAAGGUGGCAACACCUUGAGAGUGGCGUACGGGUGCGUAACGCGUAUACAACCUGCCUGUUACACGGGGAUAGCCUUGCGAAAGCGAGAUUAAUACCCGAUGGUACUAUUUAGCGGCAUCGCUUGGUAGUUAAAGCUGAGGCGGUAACAGAGGGGUAUGCGUCCCAUUAGCUAGUUGGUAGUGUAACGGACUACCAAGGCGACGAUGGGUAGGGGUUCUGAGAGGAUGAUCCCCCACACUGGUACUGAGAUACGGACCAGACUCCUACGGGAGGCAGCAGUAGGGAAUAUUGGGCAAUGGACGGAAGUCUGACCCAGCCACGCCGCGUGCAGGAAGAAGGUCCUCUGGAUUGUAAACUGCUUUUCUUGGGGAAGAAAACCCUUCUGCGGAAGGAAUUGACGGUACUCAAGGAAUAAGCAUCGGCUAACUCCGUG
rnacentral:rRNA from 1 species